ACGAACGCUGGCGGCGUGCCUAAUACAUGCAAGUUGAGCGAUGAAGAUUGGUGCUUGCACCAAUUUGAAGAGCAGCGAACGGGUGAGUAACGCGUGGGGAAUCUGCCUUUGAGCGGGGGACAACAUUUGGAAACGAAUGCUAAUACCGCAUAACAACUUUAAACAUAAGUUUUAAGUUUGAAAGAUGCAAUUGCAUCACUCAAAGAUGAUCCCGCGUUGUAUUAGCUAGUUGGUGAGGUAAAGGCUCACCAAGGCGAUGAUACAUAGCCGACCUGAGAGGGUGAUCGGCCACAUUGGGACUGAGACACGGCCCAAACUCCUACGGGAGGCAGCAGUAGGGAAUCUUCGGCAAUGGACGAAAGUCUGACCGAGCAACGCCGCGUGAGUGAAGAAGGUGUUCGGAUCGUAAAACUCUGUUGGUAGAGAAGAACGUUGGUGAGAGUGGAAAGCUCAUCAAGUGACGGUAACUACCCAGAAAGGGACGGCUAACUACGUGC
rnacentral:rRNA from 1 species